rnacentral:rRNA from 1 species
CCUACGGGAGACAGCAGUGAGGAAUAUUGGUCAAUGGCCGGAAGGCUGAACCAGCCAUGCCGCGUGAAGGUCAGUGCCCUAUGGGCGUUAAACUUCUUUUGUGCGGGAGCAAUAAUGGUCACGUGUGGCCAGACGAGAGUACCGUACGAAUAAGCAUCGGCUAACUCCGUGCCAGCAGCCGCGGUAAUACGGGGGAUGCAAGCGUUAUCCGGAUUUAUUGGGUUUAAAGGGUGCGUAGGCUGGGAGGUAAGUCAGCGGUGAAAUGCCCCCGCUCAACGGGGUGAAGUGCCAUUGAUACUGCCUGGCUGGAAUGCGGAUGCGGUGGGAGGAAUGUGUGGUGUAGCGGUGAAAUGCAUAGAUAUCACACAGAACACCGAUUGCGAAGGCAUCUCACGAAUCCGCGAUUGACGCUGAUGCACGAAAGCGUGGGUAUCAAACAGGAUUAGAUACCCUAGUAGUC